GAAGUUUUCAUUACAAGUGAUUUUUCACUUUCUCCCUGAUCCUUAUAUUGUUAGAAAUUAUACAAUAAAAUUUUUAUAUGACAGCAAUUUUUAUAAUUUUAAUCAACAUAAGUAAAUACAAGACUAAGCUAAUUUUUUAUCUUUUGAAACUGUAUGUGGUUCUUUUGUUGCAAAACUGAAGUGGAAAUCCUCCUGGCAAACAGAAAGAACACAGUCUCCAGAGUCAGACUGACCCAAGGACUGCACAAGCGUCAUCUUUUAUUUCCUGUGCCAUCUGGCUCAAACUACUCCAAGCUCUUUCCACGUCUCAAUAACUUUGUCUGUGAAAUGAAGCUAUAAGAAAACCAAAGAAAGGGAAGCCAUGUCCUUUCCACUAUGAAGGCUUUCAAAGGAAAGGAAAUAGGACACUGGCUGGAAUUCAGCCACAAAGCUUGAAUCCACAUGGUGACACUUUGAGAGAUCUUCAAAGUUCCUGCCCUCGGGGAAGUAGAUUCUCUAAGCAAGUCAUCUGGCAGAAGAACCCACUGGCAAAAUCUACUGAAAGAGGAUAAUGUAAAAUGACAGCUGUAAUGUUUUUGCAAAAGUUCUGAAGACAGUGCUGAGCCAACAGGAUGCAUGACCACGUAUCUGGAGCUUCUGUUUCAAGGAUGAAAAUUACACAUAAACAUUUACUAUACUUAGACUAUUUCCCAAAAUCCCACUGAGAUGAUGAUACAUAAAAACUAAUAAUCCAUAAUAGUCCAUAAACAAGAAAGGGUGCCAAUAGCCAAUUAGAAAAUUUGAAAAAUUUAUGAAAGGUGAGAAAGCAGAUGGAAUACUGUUGAUGGACAAACCAGAGGAAACUGCAACUGAAACAAGCAUGGUGAGGGUUGCUCUGGCAAUUCGAACCAUGCUUCCCAGGGAUCCUUAAGGAAUAUGGAGCUAAAGAGGAUGGGAGUACAAGCAAUCAAGGUAACUAAAUAAAGGAUUAAGAAUCACUGAGCCAGUCUGCUCCACACAUAUUUACUACAUAUCUUGAGCCUCGUAUCCCCAGCAAAGGGUUUCAGAAUUGCUUUCUAAACCAACAUCAAUGUUUCUCUGUGGAGUAUCCUUGAGGCUGGAAAAAAAGAACAGAAUAUGCUAACUGUGGACUUCCAAACAGACUCAGAGGGGGAAGUAGUUACCAUUUUGGCAGGCCCCCUAAAGCAUGCUCUGUUCACCACCAUAUCCCCAGACCCCAUCUCAGAGCAUGGUGUAAAAUAGACACCCAAUAUCUUUUUAGUGAAUGACUGAAUGAAGGUUAUAGCUUGUGGACAAAUAAAUGACCCUUUAGGCAACAUGACAGACUAGGCAAAUGCAGAGACAUUGUGGAUUAUACAACCACCAAAAAUUUGUCUCAGCAGCCAAUGUGGAGAGGAAGGGAAGAAAAUCUCCAAGUGCCACACAUGAAGAGAAAUAUCAAAAGACAGGGGAUGUGGGCCAGAGAUUUAACUCAGUGGUUCUGCUGCCUGCCUCUGAAGGGCAAGGUCCCAAGUUCAAUCCCCAGUACAAAAAAAAAAAAAAAAGACAGGAGAUUAAGCUUCACUGUGCAGUCCACCCUCUUGACAUUAGGUAUGACUGUGUGACACAUGAUAGGGGAGCCAUCCUUGUUGUUUCCUUCUCUCCUUUCCUAUCCAGACCAUGUCUGUGAGGCUUGAAGCCGAUCAGCCAAUUCUCCACCACAGAACAACCAGAGAGAUACAAACCACACUAGGAGGUUGGAGGAGAAAGAAGACUCAAGGAACUUGACUAAAACGAUGUGGACAACAGGCUUUCUGUUCUGCUGUGCCUAAUAUCAACUUUCCUGAUAUAUUAAAAAACCAAAACCCCACUGAGCUAGGUCACUGUAACAAAGUUUGGUUGCAUCCCUAAAUGAUGUAUUGCAUAUCUGGGAACUUGGGUGGAAGUGAAACAUGUUUAAGAAAUAGAGAGUUCAGGCCUAAGAUAGAUAGAUAGAUAGAUAGAUAGAUAGAUAGAUAGAUAGAUAGACAGACAGACAGACAGAUAGAUGCUGAAUUUAUACUACCUACUUGAUUUAGGAAUUCUAAGUUGAGAAUUAACAUUAAAUUAAAAACUAAGUCAGAACAUUUAAAACCUCUACCAUCCUAGCAGUAAAAUUGUCCAUUCACUCCAGAAUUCUUUUAUAUCUCCUGGGAAGAAAAAUAAAAGUUCACAAUCAGAAAUUACAAGGUCCAGGGAGAAAUAAAUAACCAUGAGGCAGAAUCAACACAUACAGCAAAUGGAAGAAUCAGUACUCAGAGAACUAAAUGUAAAAGAACACUCUGAAAGAAUCUAUGGGGCUGGGGAUUU